rnacentral:rRNA from 1 species
AACGAACGCUGGCGGCGUGCUUAACACAUGCAAGUCGAACGAGAAAUCUUGGGCAACUGAGUGAGUAAAGUGGCGCACGGGUGAGUAACGCGUGGGUAACCUACCCUUGAGUUGGGGAUAACUCCGCGAAAGCGGGGCUAAUACCGAAUAAUAUGUCGGGGUCUUCGGGCCUCGCCAUCAAAGAUGGCCUCUGCAUGCAAGCUACCGCUUAAGGAUGGGCCCGCGUACCAUUAGCUUGUUGGUAGGGUAAUGGCCUACCAAGGCAACGAUGGUUAGCUGGUCUGAGAGGAUGACCAGCCACACUGGAACUGAGACACGGCCCAGACUCCUACGGGUGGCUG